rnacentral:piRNA from 1 species
UUGAUACCAAAGAGUAACCGUGAC